AGUAAAGUGGCGUACGGGUGAGUAACACGUGGAUCAUCUACCUCUUGGUGGGGGAAUAAACCCUGGGAAACCGGGGCUAAUACCGCAUAAGCCUGCAAAGGGAAAGCAGCAAUGCGCCGAGAGAGGAGUCCGCGGCCGAUUAGCUAGUUGGCGGGGUAAUGGCCCACCAAGGCGAAGAUCGGUAGCCGGCCUGAGAGGGCACACGGCCACACUGGCACUGAAACACGGGCCAG
rnacentral:rRNA from 1 species